rnacentral:tRNA from 1 species
UAGGAUGUGGCCAAGUGGUAAGGCAUCGGGUUUUGGUCUCGAUAUUCGAAGGUUCGAAUCCUUCCAUCCUAG